AAUGGGCUAGCUCUGCCAUGCUAUUAUAUAUGUGUGUGAUACCUGGACAGCCGUGCCAUACUAGGGGAUCUCAGCAAGGCAAGUGUUCCUGGCACAUCAGUACUGCUGUGGCACUCACAUCCAGGAUGCACAGUGCCCUGGGAAGGACCUUGGCUCCCACAUUCUCACACAUGCAUGCACACCACAGGGCUCUCUCCUCCCAGUUUCCCAGCAGACUGAACUGUGCCGCACCACGGUGCUGAUCGCCAGGAUUUCUGGACCAAGUCCCUAGCUCCCUCCAGGGAGAAAAUAUGGUUAAAAUUUUAGGUCUCAUGGCAGGGCAGCUGUGAAGAGGAAACUUACAGAGUUGUGGGUAUAGAAAUAGUUAUCUGAGAAAAGCAACCGUAUUCUCCUGGCACCACAUGGCACAUUUAUCUCUAUAGACUUGAAAGUUAUCCUGCUCUAAACUGUGAAGGCCUCCUACACAAUGUUCAUAAAUAAAAGCAGAUUUUGAAUCCCUGCCUUUACUUCCAAAUCCCAAGGUAAAAAUUGACUGGAAUAUAUUGGAACAGAUCUUCAGGUUUGGACAAAAUGCUAGUCUUAGGUCAUCACCAUGCCUUUCAAGCACUCAAAAAGCCCCUACUGUAAUAUGUUAUUUUGUUACUGGGCCAUGCAAAUCUUGCCUAAAUUUUGAGUGCAUGAGCUGCCAGCAAGGAGCUGUAUGGUUGCAAGCACAAGGCAUUUCAAUGCAAUACAAGUGAAACUUGUCCCUCUAUUUCACUUCAGAUCAGAUGAUUAGAAAAAUUGGCUUAAUGUGCCAAGACAAAAACAGAUAAGCCAAAGUACUCUUUUGUUUUUCCAGAGAGAGUUUCAUACAGUUCAUAUAUAAAUAGAGAAUCCAGAGCAGUAAUCAACACAAUCACUGGGAUGUUAACAGUGAUAUAUUAAAGCAGUGUGACAGCCAAGGGACAGAGCACACAUCUUACUCACUCUCUCCAGCCAUGAAAUCAGUAACUCAGAUCAUUUGUCUAAAUCAUCUAAUACUACUUUGGAGUGAAUCAGCUCACCGAGGUUUAAGGACAUCCCAAGCAGAUUUGUUCAUAUAAUAGGGAAAAAACAAAACAAAAAUAACAACUGCUUUAUUUGAAAGCCAGGAGGGCCAAGGCAGAUUUAGUUCAGUUAAAGCAAUAUUUGACUCCAGUUCAAGUUGGGCAGGAGUUCAGCCAGAAGUUAUCAUAUGAUUGGGUUUUGGGGAUUCUAUUUUUUUGGAAGUCUGUGUGAAAUGAUCUAGUAGUGAUCUCAGUCCAAAUUCCAAUCCAUAAGUGCCUCUGUUCCUUGCAAACCCCACAAUUUGCACCACUGUUAAGAGUCUCAGAAUAGAAGUCAAGAGCUAGAACCCGUAGUCUGCUUGGGGUCUGCUCUUCACAUAUGAAAUAAGGAGAUGGGAGACAUGAAAUGACACCAUUAUCUUUGCUGUCUUGACAAUCCUCUAAGGAGAAAAAACAGUUGCUGAGAAAAAAUAAACAAUUUUUUUAAAAAAGUAACAACUACACCAACUACUGCAUUCAUAAUUUAAUCCUUGUCUUGACUUUUUUUCUUAAUUUUAGCAUAAGGUAAAGAUGACAGUAGGAUCUCAACAAACACUUCCUCACACUGUCACACUAUUAUUGAGUCUGGUUAAGAGUCAGCAGGAUUUACACAGUAAAGAUGAAUCAACAUACUUUGACUUAUUUUUAAGCCUUUUGAAGACCGUGUAUCCUAAAGUUUGCUCUAAGUUAACUUUUAACUCAUUUGCCUUCUAGGACGUGUAAAAUAAAAAUAUCAACAAAUACAAUGAUUAAGUCGAAAAUACAAU